rnacentral:rRNA from 1 species
CGCAGCCGCGGUAAUUCCAGCUCCAAUAGCGUAUAUUAAGGUUGUUGCAGUUAAAAAGCUCGUAGUUGAAUUUCGGGACCAGUAUGUCGGUCGUGCUUCGGUACGUACUUGCAUUAUUGGUUUCUCCCUUCUGACGAACCAUGAUGUCAUUAAUUUGAUGUCAUGGGGAAUCAGGACUGUUACUUUGAAAAAAUUAGAGUGUUUAAAGCAGGCUCGCGCUUGAAUACAUUAGCAUGGAAUAAUGAAAUAGGACGUUUGAUUCUAUUUUGUUGGUUUUCUAGGAUCGACGUAAUGAUUAAUAGGGAUAGUUGGGGGCAUUAGUAUUCAAUUGUCAGAGGUGAAAUUCUUGGAUUUAUUGAAGACUAACUACUGCGAAAGCAUUUGCCAAGGAUGUUUUCAUUAAUCAAGAACGAAAGUUAGGGGAUCGAAGACGAUCAGAUACCGUCGUAGUCUUAACCAUAAACUAUGCCGACUAGGGAUCGGAUGAUGUUAAUUUUUAAUUGACUCAUUCGGCGCCUUA